AGAGCGAACGCUGGCGGCAGGCCUAACACAUACAAGUCGAACGGACCCUUCGGGGUUAGUGGCGGACGGGUGAGUAACACGUGGGAACGUGCCUUUAGGUUCGGAAUAGCUCCUGGAAACGGGUGGUAAUGCCGAAUGUGCCCUUCGGGGGAAAGAUUUAUCGCCUUUAGAGCGGCCCGCGUCUGAUUAGCUAGUUGGUGAGGUAAAGGCUCACCAAGGCUACGAUCAGUAGCUGGUCUGAGAGGAUGACCAGCCACAUUGGGACUGAGACACGGCCCAAACUCCUACGGGAGGCAGCAGUGGGGAAUCUUGCGCAAUGGGCGAAAGCCUGACGCAGCCAUGCCGCGUGAAUGAUGAAGGUCUUAGGAUUGUAAAAUUCUUUCAGUAGGACGGUAAUGACGGUACCUACAGAAGAAGCCCGGCUAACUUCGUGCCAGCAGCCGC
rnacentral:rRNA from 1 species